rnacentral:rRNA from 1 species
UACGUAGGGCGCGAGCGUGUCCGGAAUUAUUGGGCGUAAAGAGCUCGUAGGUGGCUUGUUGCGUCUGCCGUGAAAGCCCGUGGCUUAACUACGGGUCUGCGGUGGAUACGGGGCAGGCUAGAGGCUGGUAGGGGCAAGCGGAAUUCCUGGUGUAGCGGUGAAAUGCGCAGAUAUCAGGAGGAACACCGGUGGCGAAGGCGGCUUGCUGGGCCAGUCUGCGCUGGAGGAGCGA